rnacentral:rRNA from 1 species
AAGGCUUCAGUACGACCCAGUCAGAACUAUAAGUCUCAAAGCCCCGACGAGUAGGGUGGCGUGCCGGUGCGCGUUGAAGGCCAAGACGUGAGUCAGGCUGGAGCCGCCGGUAGUGCAGAUCUUGGUGGUAGUAGCAAGUACUCUGGUGAACCAACCUGGAGCUGUGAGGUCUGGAUCAGGGUUCCAUGUCAACAGUGAUUGAACAUGGGUGAGUCGAUCCUAAGCCAACUGUGAAAGCAGUGACAUCCCGACAAAGGGGCAUUACGUGCGCUGCACUUACACCCCCACGGCAAAGCUCUGAGAUAUAUAUAUAUCUCUCUCUCUCUGACGAUAAAGGUGUCUGGUACGGAAUAUGCGCACGCACGGUGAUCACUACAAAUACGUGUGUGAGUGUGUGCGCUUGUAUGGUUACGCUCAUAAGCGUUGUUGCUCUCUGGUAAAAGGAUAAAGCAUAAGAGAGAGAGAGAGAGACACACAGAGUGUGGGUGAGCGUGAGUUUCCUCUCGCAUGAGCCCCCUGCGUCUGGUUCUAUGUCUGGCGAAAGGGAAUGGGGACUUUGUUCCUUGACCGGUCCCGGCACCCUCGAUUGGCUUUGCCAAUUAAUGGUCCAUGCAAAUGGAACCAGGCCACAGCCGCUGGCAGUCGCCCGAGGAAGAGUUUUCUUUUCUGCUUAACGCACGAGGUCAUCCCUGGAAACAGUUCGGCUGGCGAAAGGGUGCCCCGUUGCGGCAGAGCGCCACGACUGUCGUGCGCGUCUCGGUGUUCCUGCCGGUCCGUGAAGACGUGGUCGAGGGGAUUGCUCUUGUAUCAACGAAACGCCCGACAAGUUCGGGACGGACCGUACCCUAUAUCCGCAUCUGGUCUCCAAGGUUCGUAGCCUCUGCAGAGUCAGACACAUGUAGGUAAGGGAAGUCGGCAAACUCGAUCCGUAACUUCGGGAAAAGGAUUGGCUCUGAGGGCCGAGCUGGGCCGGGCCUUGCCUGCAAAGCAGUACCUAUAGUGACCGGAGUUUCAGGAGUGCGAGGGGCUCUAGUAGCUGCUCGCGCGUGUGUGCGUUCGCGCGUGCGCGCGUGUGGGCACGAACGAGUCCACCGCUCCGCUCCAACCACGAACGGCUGUGACGGCAAGGGCUCUGGGCGGGAGCGAUCAAACUGUUGGCCUCCAGCUCGUCUGGUUGGCGGCGGUGCUCCGUCUGACCCAUACGGCUCCAGCGGCUAGCGGCUAACUCAGAACUGUCAUGGACCAAGGGAAUCCGACUGUCUAAUUAAAACAAAGCGUCGUGACGCCCC